rnacentral:misc_RNA from 1 species
AAUUUUAAUUGAAUGAUUCAAUAGAAAAAGCAUAAUAAAUUUUGGAAUUUUUAAGACCAUGUUUGGUAUAGAUUUUUAUAAGUCUAAGUUCAAUUAUAGUUAAGUUUCCAACCAUAAAUGCUGCAAUAUAUAACAUAAAUCGAAAACAACCUAAUAUUGAUUGAAAAUCUAAUGGACUACUAUGGCUCAAACUAUAACAAUUUGGGCAACAAUUCCUGCUGCUUCUAAAUAUAUUGAUGUUGUCAUGAGCUUUAAGAGAUCAGUCCUAUUGCCAUGUAGACUUGUUAAAAUAAAGAAAGGUGAGGUUGGUGGUCUUUCAGCCAACCACUGCUUAAGUCAGAAAAUAGAAAUUUAGAAAGGAGAGAUUGAGAGAAUAAUUCAGUAUUGAUUAGUAUAUGUGUAUCUGAUUCUUCCUUGCUUCUAGUAUUUAUAAGGUUUUUUAAGAAAAAUAGUCAUUGCCUUAAUCUCAGGAAAUGGGUUAACAUUCGAGAUUAUCUCCUAAAAAUUCGGUUUGAUUCGUGAUUGGUGUUACUAUUGCUCAGUAUGGUUUUUGCUUGGUUUGUUAAGCUAAUGAUAAUAUUGCUUCUUCAUUCGGCUUGUUACUGUUCGAUCCGAGCCUAGAUCAUACUACAUUUUGUUGGGCUCGUAGCUACUCGGUUGAGCAACCUUUUGUUCUGUUUUGACUCUUUGACCGAGACUGCCACAUUGAAUAUUUUAUUUCAAGCGUUGACUUUUUUUAUUGUAUUUUAGGUGAGAAAUAUCAUAUAUGAAAGAUAUAUAGGCCUUUUUCUUCACAUUUCUCAGCAAAAGAUGAGGGAUUAGAACAAAAAAGCUUUCUAU